rnacentral:rRNA from 1 species
UACGUAGGGUGCAAGCGUUAAUCGGAAUUACUGGGCGUAAAGCGUGCGCAGGCGGUUUUGUAAGUCUGUCGUGAAAGCCCCGGGCUCAACCUGGGAAUUGCGAUGGAGACUGCAAGGCUUGAAUCUGGCAGAGGGGGGUAGAAUUCCACGUGUAGCAGUGAAAUGCGUAGAGAUGUGGAGGAACACCGAUGGCGAAGGCAGCCCCUGGGCUAACACUGACGCUCAUGCACGAAAGCGUGGGGAGCAAACAGG